UACGUAGGGGGCAAGCGUUGUCCGGAAUUAUUGGGCGUAAAGCGCGCGCAGGCGGUUAUUUAAGUCUGGUGUUUAAACCUUGGGCUCAACCUGGGGUCGCACUGGAAACUGGGUAACUUGAGUACAGAAGAGGAAAGUGGAAUUCCACGUGUAGCGGUGAAAUGCGUAGAGAUCCGGAGGAACACCAAAGGCGAAGGCAGUGUCCUGGGGAGUACCUGACGCUCAGGUGCGAAAGCCAGGGGAGCGAACGGG
rnacentral:rRNA from 1 species